UACAGAGGUGGCAAGCGUUGUUCGGAAUUACUGGGCGUAAAGGGCGCGUAGGCGGCCUUCUAAGUCAGACGUGAAAUCCCCCGGCUUAACCUGGGAACUGCGUCUGAUACUGGAGGGCUUGAGUGCGGGAGAGGGAUGUGGAAUUCCUGGUGUAGCGGUGAAAUGCGCAGAUAUCAGGAGGAACACCGGUGGCGAAGGCGGAUCUCUGGGCCGAUACUGACGCUGAGGAGCGAAAGCGUGGGGAGCGAACAGG
rnacentral:rRNA from 1 species